UACGGAGGGAGCUAGCGUUGUUCGGAAUUACUGGGCGUAAAGCGCACGUAGGCGGCUAUUCAAGUCGGGGGUGAAAGCCCGGGGCUCAACCCCGGAACAGCCCUCGAAACUAGAUAGCUAGAAUCUUGGAGAGGUCAGUGGAAUUCCGAGUGUAGAGGUGAAAUUCGUAGAUAUUCGGAAGAACACCAGUGGCGAAGGCGACUGACUGGACAAGUAUUGACGCUGAGGUGCGAAAGCGUGGGGAGCGAACAGG
rnacentral:rRNA from 1 species